UUCCGGUUGAUCCCGCCGGAGGCUACCGCUAUUGGAGUUCGAUUAAGCCAUGCGAGUCGCGAGAAAUUAGAUUCUCGGCGUACCGCUCAGUAACACGUGGGUAACCUGCCCUAUGCUGGAUAAUAACCUCGGGAAACUGAGAAUAAUGAUCCAUAGUUCACUACGCCUGGAACGGUGAGUGGAUGAAAGCUCCGGCGGCAUAGGAUGGGCCUGCGGCGUAUCAGGUUGUAGGGGGUGUAACGUACCCUCUAGCCCUCUACGCGUACGGGUGUUGGGAGACAUAGCCCGGAGAUGGAUUCUGAGACACGAAUCCAGACCCUACGGGGUGCAGCAGGCGCGAAAACUUGGCAAUGCGAGAAAUCGUGACCAGGGAACUCCAAGUGCAUCGGGUAAGACCGGUGCUUUUCUUGACUCUAAAUAGGUCUUGGAAUAAGGGGUGGGUAAGGACGGUGCCAGCCGCCGCGGUAAUACCGGCGCCUCAAGUGGUAGUCGCUUUUAUUGGGCCUAAAACGUCCGUAGCCGGUCUGAUACAUUCGUGGGUAAAUCAACCAGCUUAACUGGUUGAAUUCUGCGAGGACGGUCAGACUUGGGACCGGGAGAGGUGUGGGGUACGCUCAGGGUAGGGGUAAAAUCCUGUCAUCCUGAGCGGACCACCUGUUGCGAAGGCGCCACACUAGAACGGAUCCGACGGUCAGGGACGAAGCCUAGGGGCACGAACCGGAUUAGAUACCCGGGUAGUCCUAGGUGUAAACGCUGUGGACUUGAUGUUGGGGGUGCUCCGAGCACUCUCAGUGUCGAAGCGAAGGUGAUAAGUCCACUGCCUGGGAAGUACGGUCGCAAGGCUGAAACUUAAAGGAAUUGGCGGGGGAGCACCGCAACCUGAGGAUUGUGCGGUUUAAUUGGAUUCAACGCCGG
rnacentral:rRNA from 1 species